rnacentral:lncRNA from 10 species
CACAAAACCGCCAUUGUCAUCAUGGCCUGUUCUCAAUGAGCUGUUGAGUACACCUCCCAGACGGGGUGGUGGCCGGGCAGAGGGGCUCCUCACUUCCCAGUAGGGGCGGCCGGGCAGAGGCGCCCCUCACCUCCCGGACGGGGCAGCUGGCCGGGCGGGGGGCUGACCCCCACCUCCCUCCCGGACGGGGUGGCUGCCGGGCGGAGGGGCUCCUCACUUCUCAGACGGGGUGGCUGCCGGGCGGAGGGGCUUCUCACUUCUCAGAUGGGGCGGUUGCCAGGCAGAGGGUCUCCUCACUUCUCAGACGGGGCGGCCAGGCAGAGACGCUCCUCACAUCCCAGAUGGGGCGGCAGGGCAGAGGUGCUCCCCACAUCUCAGAUGAUGGGCGGCCGGGCAGAGACGCUCCUCACUUCCUAGAUGGGAUGGCGGCCGGGCAGAGACGCUCCUCACUUU